AUGGUCUGCGCACAGAAAAAUCAUUCCAGACACAAGUCAGACUGUGUUACGCCUGCCAAAGAACUUCCUGACACUUUUGUGAUGUCUAAUACAUGAUAUAGUCAAAACGUAUUCUUCUAAAUGUCAAUUGUAACAUAUUUGAAAACAGAAGGUGGCAACAUGUUUAUAUUGCAACUUAAAGAGAUAUCAAAUACACUUUGUUAAAAGUGCAACAAAACUCUUACACAAGAUUGUGAAACCUGAAUCCAUCCUAAAUUCAGCUUUCAUUUUUAAAAAGCACAGUUUGUAGCUACAUGGAUCCCGUUAAGUACUUGGAAUCUGGGUAUCUCGAAUAAUGGGUUUGCUACAAUAUGACAAAGCAUUUCAAUGUCUUACUGACUAAGUUUUGGUCUAGACAUUAUGAAGUCACAUAGUCACAUGUCCAGCAGCUUUAGAUCAAUCUUAACUUACAGAUAACUCAAGUAAUCCUUUUAGAGGUUGUGCUUUCUUGAAAGGAAUGAAAUAGAAGCUGUUUUUUAAGCCCCAGUGAGCAUGUGUUUUGUAAUAAGUGGACCCAGCCCAGUACUCUUGUGUAAAGAGAAAUCCUUUCCAUGCUGCAAUGAAUCAUUAAGUCAUGGGAUAUUUAUAAUCUGAGAUGUCUCCCUUUUUUCUAUUUGAACCGGUUUCUUGGAGCUUUCUCUUUUUAGAAUACCUGAAGCCAAACUGUUCCUUUAUCUCUCAGCUAAGGAGCCUAGAGCUGUACACCACAGUUCUUUGAUUUUGACCUUAACUGUUCUCAGUUGUUUGUGCAAAUUUGGGUUUGCGAGGGGACGCAAUGUCAGUUUAGUAAUUACAUAGCUUCUUUCUGAAACUAUAAUUGUUUUUAGAAGUAUUAUUCACAGAACAGCUGAAGGAAAUGUCUUCAUUUUUUCUAUUUGUAAAUUUUUUAUUUUAAAAGCAGCAUAAUUAUCUUUGCCCCUUUCCUCCUUCCUUAAAAGAUAGUUAUGACUAAUCCAGGGAACAUCAACUGAAGUGCCUGAGCUUCUACUUGUAUUCUACUCAAAGGAAUUUACCAUAGAAUUUAUGUGGUAGUGGAAUUUCAGACCAAUGCUCAAAAUACUUACUCCUAACUUUGCUUUCAACUGCAUUUGGCAAAACGAAACAAAACAUAACAAAAACAAACUAACUGUUAAACAAAAUGCAGCUUUCUCUAUAUGCAAGUAAUUGGAAAAGGUUCCUGGUAAUACAAUAUCUAUACAACAUUAUAAUAUAGUAUUUAAAAAGCAUGAUAUUAGCAAAUUAGAUCAUUAUGUAGAAAAUGUUACAUAUACUGUUAAACUGAAUUUAAGGGUAUCAAAAGGUCAGAGAGUUUUAAUUUAGGAAGUCCCUGUGAUGAAAUUAGAUUAAAUCACUUUAAAUUAUGCCAGCAAUCAAUUGUGAAGCUGAGAAGAGGAUAGCUUCAAUUCAUGCCAGCCUUGUAGACUAGAAUUCAGACAAAUGGCCAGAUAAAUAUUAACAUUUAUCAGCAGUUGAAGUAAAUGUAUAGACAUGAGUAAAAAUCAUAAAAGCAUGAGAGACUAAAGCUUUAUGCCUUAAAACAUUCAUUUCCCUUCAGUCUACAUAGGUACUCAAGUCCACAAUUUAUGUGUCAGAAUUAUAGAAUUUUAAAAAUCUUAUCAUUUUAACAAAAUUUAAGAUAAUAGAUAUGGAAUGUUAAAGGAGUUAUUUUAAAAUAGUCUCACCUAGCUAUGUCUGGGCAAUAGUUCAGGAAAAGUAAAAACACUUGUCUUCCACUGACAGAUGACAGUGAUAUGAGUGAGAGAAAUAUUUACUGCAGGAAACAAUAUUCAGAUAUUCCAAGUGGUGGUCAUGGUGGUGAUGAUGAUGAUUGUUUUUGACUUGAUUUUCAAUUGAGAUUCCAUUUUGAAUCCUGCUAAUUAAUUAUUUAUUUUGUAAAUUUUUUAUUUCAUAAAUUUGAUUAUGUAUUUUAUAAACUUAUUAUCUCUUCAUAAUAUGAAGGAAGGACUCUAAGACCUUAAACACUGGGUUUGAUGGGUAAAUAUUUAGAUAGAAGAUUAUAAGAAUAAUUCUGGAUAUCCUUUAUUGUCUCAAGAUUUUGGCCACAGUGAUCUCAUUUUUAUCCCAGAACAGAAUCAUACCGAAUGAUCAGCAGAUUCUGUAACAGAAUCAUACCGAAUGAUCAGCAGCGUUUCUGCAAAGUUGAAGAAAAACCUGGAGGGCUUUAAGGUUCGUCUUGAGAUAUCCUCUGACAUCUUCCUAAAAUCUGCUCUCCAGGAAACCAGAGCUUUCCUUUCUGGAUUCAUUAUAAUGCAAUACUCAGGGCUUCUAUUGCAAAAUCAGUAUGGACUAUACUGUGAUUUGUACACCAGAAAAAUGUCAAUGCUGAAGUUUUUUUUUGUUAUUGUUCUCAUUGUUUUCUUUCUUUUUUUAUGUUUAAAGGUUUCUUCUAUAUUGUUAAACAACUACAUGGGGAUGGUGCUAUUUGAAGAGACUGAAUUACCAAAUGACUUGUGUUGGUAGUGCAAAAGCCUUAUUCUAAUCAUCUGCUUUUGUCCAUCCCCAAAUAUUGGUUUUACUGGAGAAAUCUGGCUACUUGUCCAUUCUCUACCCUCUCCUGUGUUGCAGGGAAGACUGGCCUCUAGAGACCACGUUGGCUGGGCUCCCUUGCACUCUGGCUCCUGGUUGGAUUUGGUCAACAGGAAGCACCAGUAAGAAAGAGAUCAAAGAGCAACGGGAACAAAAGAUUAGGUCUGUGCUCUCCCUGGUGGACCUGCUGGGCCAUGGUUUGGCAGUGGCUCUGUUCUUCAGUCUAGCUCCUGUCAGCCUGCCCCUCAUCAUCACCUUAACUCUUGUUACGUUCCAACAACACACCUUAUCUUUUUAUACCUUUGGGCCUACAGGUGGUAGUAGCUUCUUGCUCUUAAUCUCUGGGUUUCUGGGUGCUUCAUUAUUUGCUGGUUCCCUUAAAACUACUUUUAUUCUCUGCAUUACACUCUCUUGAAUUCUUCGAGCAUGUCACCUAUUUCCUGCUGGAGCCCUAAAUGAUACUAAUGUGCUUAGAUUUCAUUUUAUGAGUUCAAUAGUUUUCAAUGAACCACAUAUGACCACCCUACGGUCUCAUAUUUAAGAAUACUUUAUGAUGUUUUUCUAGAUUUUUUCUACCAAGCACUAUUCCUUUUUAUUAAAAUGAAGCUUCUGAGUCGAGAGAGGUGAAAACGAGGUAAGCAGCACUUCUUGAAGGAUGUUUUCAUCACUAGGCUUAUUUCUGACAGGGCACAAAAUGUAUUUCAAUUUAUCUCUAAAAGCUGCCCACCAAUUCCUGCUAAAGUCUUAAAUUAUAAUUCAUAUAUUAACUGACAUAGGUUUAAAGUUUAUAUUUGCAAGUGCGUUUUAAAUUAUGCCCUUGAAAGCAAAAUAUUACCUUUAUGAGUCAAGGCAACAGCAUUAUUGAAAUUUGAAGUGAUUCAAUUAGUUUUGUUCUGGCAGGGUCUAUCCUUCUAUUGUCGUAAACUAUAAUCUAUAGAAAGCCUGCUCUGUUUCUGACAAAUCAAUAUCAUUACCUCUUGGGGAAGAAUAUACUAAUUUAUUGGAAAAUAUGAAACAAAUUCAAUAUUUCAAGAUUAUAAGGAAGUAACAAAAGUAAUGAGAAAGAGAAUUUAACCUAAUUUUGAAAAUAUUCACUUAGCUAUUAAAUAUAUUUGUUUUAUUUUGUCUUGCAUGAAAUAUUUAAAAGAUCACAAGAAAUUUUUAAAAGUAAAGGGUUAGAGGGUGUCAGGGCUAGAGUCAUUCACAUUUCAGUUAUUGAAAUUUAUUUAUAAUAAAAAUUAUGUAGGUAACAAAGCAUAUUUUUGAGGCAUAAAGUCAUUCAUUCAAUGGAGUCAGAGAUACCAGGAUUUGAACAGAAAAUUCACACUUUGGAGAACCAAAGAAGUUUUAUUUUGAUAAAACAGAGGUGUCGUUAUACUCUGUACCCCGGCAAGGCCCAAUCUUAGGUAGAAGUUCUCUUUAUCAGCCAGGAGUUGUCUGAAUUUUAAACUGGGAUUGCAGAAGAAGAUGCAAAAUGAUUCUUUAAAAAUAAAUAAUCUCCCAACUUAAUAGAGCUGUCUGUUAUCUAAACACGUGUUGCUUGAUAGGAAAAGUGCAGUUCAUCAUCCUGCUUGUCAAGUUGGAGCUUUUAAUGGUAUCUAAAUAAGCCAGUGCAUCAUGGUAAGAGUCAUUAGCAUUCCUUCAGAGAACACAUUCUGAGAUCAACAUUUACAAUCAACGGCUGAGAUUGCGUUUCACUGACCUUCAUCAGAACAACAAGAAAUCUUUUUCCCUCAAGAACCUUGUUAUGUAUGAUAGCUUUUCUCGUCACUUAAAUUUUUCCGAAGGACUAUGCUGUCUCCAUUUUUUAUAGAACUAUUCAACCAAAUAAAGAUGAUAUGACAACCAAAUAAAUAAAAAUGGUAUGACAGGGUCUCAUAGUAGCAUCAAGAAGGAUAAACAUGUAUUAGUGUACCUAAGAUCCUUACCUUCUAUUGUGUGUAAUUAUGCAAUUUUAUAAUUUGUAUAAGUGUACGUAUUUAUGUGAGUAAAGAUUCUAACACUUGGAA